rnacentral:rRNA from 1 species
GGGGGGGGGGGGGGGGGGGGGGGGGGGGGGGGAGGGGGGGGGCAGGGCAGUGAGGGGGGGCGCGGGCGGGGGGGGGGGGGAGGGCGGGUGAGGGAUAGAGCGGCAUGUAGUUUUUCGGGGGGGGUAACGUAGGGCAACUUAGGGUAAUACCGCAUCCGACGUCCGGGUGAAAGCAGGGGAUCUUCGGACCUUGCGCGAUUGACUGAGCCGAUGUCGGAUUAGCUAGUUGGCGGGGUAAAGGCCCACCACGGCGACGAUCCGUAGCUGGUCUGAGAGGAUGAACAGCCACACUGGAACUGAGACACGGUCCAGACUCCUACGGGAGGCAGCAGUGGGGAAUAUUGCACAAUGGGCGCAAGCCUGAUCCAGCCAUACCGCGUGGGUGAAGAAGGCCUUCGGGUUGUAAAGCCCUUUUGUUGGGAAAGAAAAGCAGCAGGUUAAUACCCCGCUGUUCUGACGGUACCCAAAGAAUAAGCACCGGCUAACUUCGUG